GUGCAGGAAUGAGAAAAAAGAAAUAAAUUUAAAGGAGAAGGUAAAAGAAAAAAGACAUGAAAAAAAGAAGCAGUACCAGAUUGAAGCUGAGAAAGAAGAAAAAGAUAGGAUGGCACUGGAACUAUACGAACAGUGGUUGGUUAAAAAAGAAGAGCAGGAAAAGCAGGAAAAGAAACAAAGAAGGCUGAAAUUAAUUUUACAAGAUGAACCUCCACCUCCUUGGAGCCCUCCAAGCAAAACCGUGCCAUACAAAAGAUAAACCAAAGACAUCUCUUAUUUUAUUAUUUAGUGUUGCUUUCUUUUUGCCUUUACUUGAAUUAAGGAUAAGUGUUCAAUAGAUGUUUUUAAUACUUUGGUUUUCAGACUGUUCACCAUUUAUGUACUCCACAUCUUUUAAAGUAAUUUCAUUGCACCCAGUGCUGUUUUAUUCUUCAGAAACUACAUGUUGUAUAAAUUGGGCCCUUGCCAGCUUAUUGAAAAGCAAUAUACUGAAAGUUAUAUUAAUGAAUGUACAAUGCUGAAAUGUUAAAAUGUUGAAAUUGAAAUACCUACUUCCUUACAUGGGAAGAGAGAGAGAGAGAGCUGGACACCCCUCCCUCUCCAUGCAGGACCUAUGUUAGCCUAGCUCUUAUUUCUGAGUUUCAGUCAUGAGCGGACAGGUGAUCUGCUGUGGUGACCCCUAACCUUGAAAAGCCGAAAGAAGAGAAGAAGACUAACAGAUUUGUGUUAACUGUUUGUUAACUUACUGUGUUCUGGUGAAGUGUAAUUGUGUAUAUAUGUAUGCUGUUCGUAGACAUUUUUAGUUAAUAUUAUAAAGUUUCAGCAUUUUGACAGUUCAGUACAUUGCAUUCAGUAGUAUGUUCUUUAAUAAUACACUAUGCAGUAAGUUGUCAUGUACCCAUAUAAAUAAUAUGUGCAGCUUUUUCUCAGUACAAGUUUCAAUUAAAGAUUUUAUACACUUUUGGGAAGCUGAAGUACUGCACCAUUAAAUUGCUAUGCAAUGGAAUAAUGUGCUCUGUGCAUACUUUGUAUUUUAAGACUGGAAAUUAUGUUAAUAAGUGUUGUAAAUUAAGGUUGGAUUACAUUGUUUAGCCGUAUCCCUAUCAGUUGAUCUAGUUUUCAGAAAUUCAAAAUUCACUCUAAGCUUUUGAAUGGAGAUUGUGGUACUGUGAGGAUCAGGUCAUUUACCACUUUCCUUACUGUAGUGCGAUCUCAGAGUUGGUAUAUAUAAUUUGCAGGGGUGUGGGGGUGCAGGGGGACUUGACUCCCUGCAAAAACAUAAAAAAAGAUAGAUUUUUGUGUUUUUUUUCUUGAUGUUCGAGUUUUUUGGAAUUUCGAUCAUAUCGUUGCAACCAUAUGAAUUUCGAGAUUCUGAAGACUUGAUCAACUGACAAUUCUGUUUAGCUGUCUUAUUUGCCAUGCCCUCAUUCUGUAAGUUGAAAUGUACAAACUGUGCUGUAUGGCUAUGUAAAAUGUAGUUAGAUUAUAAAAUAUAGUUAGAUUAUAAAAAUAUGAAAGCCAUGGGGUGAAAAACCUGAAUAAAAUCAUUGUAGAACAGUUUCCAUUUGCUGUCUAAGAACAGAACUUGCAGUACUGUAAUUAAACUCUGUGUACUGUGCUACUGUAUUCAGUGGCCUGAUUUCCACAA